ACCAGGCACAGCAACUGUGUGUGUCUGUGUGUGUGUGAACAGUUCACGUCACCUCACUCUUUCACAUCUCUGGUACACCUGGUACUCACACAACACACACACACACACACACACACACUCGUUAACAGCUUUCGUUUCUCCUUUUAAUCUCUAUUCUGGGACUCUGAGCUGGGUGGGGUUUUUGUUGCUGUAAUUUUGUGUUGUUUGGUGCAGCUUUGCCUUCAACUUCAGAUCAGCCUUUCUUUUAUUAUCCUAACAUGGGGACUUUGUUUGGAGACACGUUUUAUAAAGGCUUCUCGUGCUUCCAUUUCGAAUUCAGCCUCCCCAAAUAUCCCUCGCCGUCUGACAUCAUUCGCUGCUCGUGUGAGUAACCCAGUAAAGCGACCGCAAGAAGCCAGUUUCCCAUGCAGGAAGCACAUAAGCAAAGACAGAGGGCCCAUUCUUACACAAAGUGGGCAGGGUGCAGUGACGUUGUGACCAAAACACACACACUCACGGAGGAGGAGGAGGAGGAGGAGGAGGAGGAGGAGGGGAAACAAGCUCAGAGAGGGAAACAGGAACAGAAAGUAGAAGACAUGUCAAGAUGUCUGGGUGAGGGGACCAGAAAUGAAAAGAAAGGAGCAGAAGCCAGAUGCCAAAACAGAAGUUUGAGCAGCUCACUGGAUUAGACAAGAGGGGCGAUCUGACCUGCCACUUCACAUGUGCCUGUGGGACGGACGCAUUAUUCAACCACGUCUCUGCUAAAUUAAGCAAAAAGCAAAAGGGCGAGAAGACAAGAGAAAGACUCCAGAAGACAAAGAGAAAGAAAACUGUCAAAGUUAUUCCCAAAACUUUGAGGAUUUUGUCUUUUUCACCCAGCAUCAAGACCACCACGACUGGACGAUUUCAAAGAAAAUCCUGUCGUAACGAAUGAAUCGCUCGGUAUUUGUUUGAAUAAUGCGUUGGCUUUGUAAGCAGCAAGCAGGGAGGCUCACGUGAAGUCACCCCGCGUGCUUCCAGUGUUUCCAUUUAACAUAAACAACACAAGCCUGGGUGCACACGCCGGCCUCAUCACACAGCGCCACAGACUCUGAUCGCUCGAAGAGGAAAAGAGAAGCACGCGAAAGUUCAACCUCACGUCGCCAGAAAUAUCUGCAGUGACAGAUCUUGGGUCGGUGAGGUUUUGUCGAGAAUAAAACGUCAUUAUUCAUAAGUUGAGAUCUGAAGGCAGAAUCUUAAUUAGCAGAUGUAUAUCCUGCUGUCGAGUCGGCACAUUUACUGAAUUGCAGACUUCACAGCCGUGUAAAGGACUUACUUUCACUUCAAUUAAAAGGAGUCG
ensembl:lncRNA